rnacentral:rRNA from 1 species
UGGGGAAUAUUGGACAAUGGGCGAAAGCCUGAUCCAGCCAUGCCGCGUGUGUGAAGAAGGUCUUCGGAUUGUAAAGCACUUUAAGUUGGGAGGAAGGGCAGUAAGCGAAUACCUUGCUGUUUUGACGUUACCGACAGAAUAAGCACCGGCUAACUCUGUGCCAGCAGCCGCGGUAAUACAGAGGGUGCAAGCGUUAAUCGGAAUUACUGGGCGUAAAGCGCGCGUAGGUGGUUCGUUAAGUUGAAUGUGAAAGCCCCGGGCUCAACCUGGGAAGUGCAUCAAAAACUGGCGAGCUAGAGUAGAGCAGAGGGUGGUGGAAUUUCCUGUGUAGCGGUGAAAUGCGUAGAUAUAGGAAGGAACACCAGUGGCGAAGGCGACCACCUGGGCUCAUACUGACACUGAGGUGCGAAAGCGUGGGGAGCAAACAGG